rnacentral:misc_RNA from 1 species
ACCUGCGGAAGGAUCAUUACCGAGUGCGAGCCUUCGGGCUCAACCUCCCACCCGUGUCGUUAUGAAUACCUGUUGCUUUGGCGGGCCCACCGGGGCUGCCUGGUCGCCGGGGGACGCCUGUCCCCGGGCCCGCGCCCGCCGAAGCACCCCCUGAACUCUGAAGAAGAUAGGGCUGUCUGAGUACCUAGAAAAUAGUCAAAACUUUCAACAAUGGAUCUCUUGGUUCCGGCAUCGAUGAAGAACGCAGCGAAAUGCGAUAAGUAAUGUGAAUUGCAGAAUUCCGUGAAUCAUCGAAUCUUUGAACGCACAUUGCGCCCCCUGGCAUUCCGGGGGGCAUGCCUGUCCGAGCGUCAUUUCUGCCCUCAAGCCCGGCUUGUGUGUUGGGUGUGGUCCCCCCGGGGACCUGCCCCAAAGGCAGCGGCGACGCCCGUCGGGUCCUCGAGCGCAUGGGGCUUUGUCACUCGCUCGGGAGGGACCUGCGGGAGUCGGUCACCCCUAGAAUUUUUUUAUGGUUGACCUCGGAUCAGGUAGGAGUUACCCGCUGAACUUAAGCAUAUCAAUAA